rnacentral:misc_RNA from 1 species
GAUGAAGAACGUAGUGAAAUGCGAUAAGUAAUGUGAAUUGCAGAAUUCAGUGAAUCAUCGAAUCUUUGAACGCACAUUGCGCCCGCUAGUAUUCUGGCGGGCAUGCCUGUCCGAGCGUCAUUUCAACCCUCAAGCCCCCGGGCUUGGUGUUGGGGAUCGGCGAGCCUCCGCGCCCGCCGUCCCCUAAAUCUAGUGGCGGCCUCGCUGUAGCUUCCUCUGCGUAGUAGCACACCUCGCACUGGGAAACAGCGCGGCCACGCCGUUAAACCCCCAACUUCUGAACGUUUGACCUCGGAUCAGGUAGGAAUACCCGCUGAACUUAAGCAUAUCAAUAAGCGGAGGA